GACCCUCGUAUUACGUACUUGGCACGUAGAAUUCUAAAACCGGGAAAACUCGGAAAUAUUUUCACCGUUAUCGUUUUGUGCACUAUGACACGCAAAACCAUGGACGCUCACGCGAUCAGCCUCAGCAUUCUACAGCUGUUUAGUUAAGUUUUAAGAAUGGACAGAGAUAGAUUCUACUUCUUCUACUACUUCUAAACAGAUAAAUUGAAUUGGGUGACUUGUCCAUUAACUAGAAGAAACCGGGGAACGAAACAUAGAAAUGAAAGUACAGAGAAAGUCAACGCAACGAAAGUUCGAAAUGUCGAAAGUGGUUUUGUUUUCAUGUAUCACGUACAUUUAUGUACCUCAAAAAGGAAACGAAUGCAUUUUCCAUGGAAGUACAUGUACUUCAAAAAGAAGACGAAGCUAAGCAACAGAAUGCAAUUCUCUGAGGCAUUGAUUUACAUGAUGUGCAUAUAAAGAGCAGCUGGCAAUUAUUUUAUGAUGAGAGCUUGUUACCAAAUGAAAGGAAAGUGCAGUAUUAGAAUCACUGAGGUACAUGUUACGAUGUACAUAUGCAUGUAGGUGCAGAUCUAGAUGUCCUGUAAAAAAAACCUGGUAUUAAAGAACUGAAAAGUAAAGAAACAGAACCAAAGAACAUUCCUUUUAAAUUAAUACAAUAUUGAACUCAA